GAUGUUCAAGUAAUACCAACUUUAUUGUGUUUCCACGGGCCCUUAAACUUAUCCAAUUUUCAUUACAAACCUAUAUACUUUCUCAACAACUUUUUUCAAAAUUAAGAGAUUUUUCAGAAUUUCUUUAACGGCUCAUUUUUUGGAUUUUUCUAACAACAGUAUAUGCAAAUUUAUUUAAUUAGAAGAAAAAAAACAUCCCACCACCACCAAAUCACACAACAAA
rnacentral:lncRNA from 1 species